rnacentral:rRNA from 1 species
AGAGCACACGGUGGAUGCCUUGGCAUCAAGAGCCGAUGAAGGACGUGGGAGACUGCGUUAAGCCUAGGGGAGUUGUCAACCGAGCGGUGAUCCUAGGAUGUCCGAAUGGGGAAACCUAGCCGCAGUGAUGUGUGGUUACCUGCGCCUGAAUAUAUAGGGCGUGUGGAGGGAACGCGGGGAAGUGAAACAUCUCAGUACCCGUAGGAAGAGAAAACAACCGUGAUUCCGUGAGUAGUGGCGAGCGAAAGCGGAUGAGGCUAAACCAUAUGCGUGUCAAGCCGGCAGGCGUUGCGUGUGUGGUGUUGUGGGAGCGAGUGUGUGUGGCUGCCGUCGCACGCUGUUGAUGUUGUCGCUAGCGGAAGUCGUUUGGAACGGCGCACCGUAGUGGGUGAGAGUCCCGUACGUGAAAGUGGCAAUUGUUGAUGGUUCUUGUUUCCCGAGUAGCACCGGGCCCGUGAAAUCUGGUGUGAAUCUGUCGGGACCACCCGAUAAGCCUAAAUACUUCUUGAUGACCGAUAGCGGACCAGUACCGUGAGGGAAAGGUGAAAAGUACCCCGGGAGGGGAGUGAAAUAGUACCUGAAACCGUGUGCUUACAAUCCGUCAGAGGCUUUCGGGCUGAUGGCGUGCCUUUUGAAGAAUGAGCCUGCGAGUUAGUGGUAUGUCGCGAGGUUAACCCGUGUGGGGUAGCCGGAGCGAAAGCGAGUCCGAAGAGGGCGUUGAGUGGCAUGCUCUAGACCCGAAGCGGGGUGAUCUACCCAUGGCCAGUGUGAAGCGACGGUAAGACGUCGUGGAGGCGCGAACCCACUUAGGUUGAAAACUGAGGGGAUGAGCUGUGGGUAGGGGUGAAAGGCCAAUCAAACUCCGUGAUAGCUGGUUCUCCCCGAAAUGCAUUUAGGUGCAGCGUCGUGUGUUUCAUCUUGGAGGUAGAGCUACUGGAUGGUCGAGGGGGCUUAUCCGCUUACCGACACCAGCCAAACUCCGAAUGCCAGGAUGUGAGAGCACGGCAGUGAGACUGUGGGGGAUAAGCUUCAUAGUCGAGAGGGAAACAGCCCAGAUCGCCGGCUAAGGCCCCUAAGCGUGUACUAAGUGGAAAAGGAUGUGGGAUCGCUUAGACAACCAGGAGGUUGGCUCAGAAGCAGCCACCCUUGAAAGAGUGCGUAAUAGCUCACUGGUCAAGUGGUCCUGCGCCGACAAUGUAGUGGGGCUCAAGUACACCGCCGAAGCCGCGGCAUUCCAGUUUUUUGGGAUGGGUAGGGGAGCGUCGUGUGUCCGUUGAAGCUGCAGAGUGAUCUAGUGGUGGAGGGUAUGCGAGUGAGAAUGCAGGCAUGAGUAGCGAAUGACAUGUGGGAAACAUGUCCUCCGGAUGACCAAGGGUUCCUGGGCUAGGCUAAUCCUCCCAGGGUGAGUCGGGUCCUAAGGCGAGGCCGACAGGCGUAGUCGAUGGAUAACGGGUUGAUAUUCCCGUACCCGUAUAAGCGCGCCCAUGGUGAAUCAGUGAUACUAACUGUCCAGAAGCUGCUGCUGCCUUUUUUUGAGGUGGUGGUUGUGGAUGCACGGGACCUGAUCUGGUAGUAGCCAAGCGAUGGGGUGACGCAGGAAGGUAGCUGUGCCAGGUAGUGGAUUGCCUGGUGUAAGCGUGUAGGGUGACAGGUUGGUAAAUCCGCUUGUUGUGUACCUGAGACGUGAUGCGUAGCCAUUGUGGUGAAGUCAGUGAUCCUAUGCUGCCGAGAAAAGCCUCUAGUGAGUUCUUAUACGGCCCGUACCCCAAACCGACACAGGUGGUCAGGUAGAGAAUACUAAGGAGUUCGAGAGAACUGUGGUUAAGGAAUUCGGCAAAAUGCCCCCGUAACUUUGGAAGAAGGGGGACCGGUGUUGGUGAUCACCUUUUCGGUGUGAGCUGAUAGCCCCAGUAAACGGCGGUGGUAACUAUAACCAUCCUAAGGUAGCGAAAUUCCUUGUCGGGUAAGUUCCGACCUGCACGAAUGGCGUAACGACUUCUCUACUGUCUCAACCACAGACUCGGCGAAAUUGCAGUACGAGUAAAGAUGCUCGUUACGCGCGGCAGGACGAAAAGACCCCGGGACCUUCACUAUAGCUUGGCAUUGGUGUUCGGUUUUGUUUGUGUAGGAUAGGUGGGAGACUGUGAAGCUUAAACGCCAGUUUGGGUGGAGUCGUUGUUGAAAUACCACUCUGAUGAAAUUGGACCUCUAACCUCGGACCAUGAUCUGGUUUAGGGACAGUGCCUGGUGGGUAGUUUAACUGGGGCGGUUGCCUCCCAAAGAGUAACGGAGGCGCCCAAAGGUUCCCUCAGCCUGGUUGGCAAUCAGGUGUUGAGUGUAAGUGCACAAGGGAGCUUGACUGUGAGACUGACAGGUCGAGCAGGGACGAAAGUCGGGACUAGUGAUCCGGCACCGGCUUGUGGAAGCGGUGUCGCUCAACGGAUAAAAGGUACCCCGGGGAUAACAGGCUGAUCUUCCCCAAGAGUCCAUAUCGACGGGAUGGUUUGGCACCUCGAUGUCGGCUCG